rnacentral:rRNA from 1 species
UACGUAGGGGGCAAGCGUUGUCCGGAUUUACUGGGUGUAAAGGGUGCUCAGGUGGCUUGGUAAGUCAGUGGUGAAAUCUGAGAGCUUAACUCUCAAACUGCCAUUGAUACUUCUUAGCUUGAGUACGGAAGAGGCUGAUGGAAUUUCAGGUGUAGCAGUGAAAUGCGUAGAUAUCUGAAAGAACACCAGUGGCGAAGGCGGUCAGCUGGUCCGUUACUGACACUAAAGCACGAAAGCGUGGGUAGCAAACAGG